GACGUAGGGCGCGAGCGUUGUCCGGAAUUAUUGGGCGUAAAGAGCUCGUAGGCGGUCUGUUACGUCUGCUGUGAAACCCGGGGCUUAACCCUGGGCUUGCAGUGGAUACGGGCAGACUAGAGGCAGGUAGGGGGAGAAUGGAAUUCCCGGUGUAGCGGUGAAAUGCGCAGAUAUCGGGAGGAACACCGGUGGCGAAGGCGGUUCUCUGGGCCUGACCUGACGCUGAGGAGCGAAAGCGUGGGGAGCGAACAGG
rnacentral:rRNA from 1 species